rnacentral:tRNA from 1 species
GGCGGCAUAGCCAAGUGGUAAGGCAGGGGUCUGCAAAACCCUUACGCCCCGGUUCGAAUCCGGGUGCCGCCUCCA